rnacentral:rRNA from 1 species
UGGGGAAUUUUGGACAAUGGGCGAAAGCCUGAUCCAGCAAUGCCGCGUGUGUGGAGAAGGCCUUCGGGUUGUAAAGCACUUUUGUCCGGAAAGAAAUCCUUGGCUCUAAUACAGUCGGGGGAUGACGGUACCGGAAGAAUAAGCACCGGCUAACUACGUGCCAGCAGCCGCGGUAAUACGUAGGGUGCAAGCGUUAAUCGGAAUUACUGGGCGUAAAGCGUGCGCAGGCGGUUUGCUAAGACCGAUGUGAAAUCCCCGGGCUCAACCUGGGAACUGCAUUGGUGACUGGCAGGCUAGAGUAUGGCAGAGGGGGGUAGAAUUCCACGUGUAGCAGUGAAAUGCGUAGAGAUGUGGAGGAAUACCGAUGGCGAAGGCAGCCCCCUGGGCCAAUACUGACGCUCAUGCACGAAAGCGUGGGGAGCAAACAGGAUUAGAUACCCUGGUAGUCCACGCCCUAAACGAUGUCAACUAGUUGUUGGGGAUUCAUUUCCUUAGUAACGUAGCUAACGCGUGAAGUUGACCGCCUGGGGAGUACGGUCGCAAGAUUAAAACUUAAAGGAAUUGACGGGGUCAUAGCUGUUUUCCU